rnacentral:rRNA from 1 species
GAGCAUGUGGCUUAAUUUGACUCAACGCGGGAAAUCUUACCGGGUCCGGACACACUGAGGAUUGACAGGCAAUAUUAGCACUUAGCUUCGGCGACGUGUUAUGUUAAAUAUGCUAGUCCUUUCAUGAUUAUGUGAUAGGUGGUGCAUGGCCGUUCUUAGUUCGUGGAGUGAUCUGUCUGCUUAAUUGCGUUUCACCAAGGGCCUAUAAUUUUACGUGUGUUGCGGCACUUUGACCCCUCUUUUUUUAAAGAGCGCGUGUCUUGGUUUGCUUAGCUCGCACAAUUAGGUCCUGAAAGCAACGAACGUGACCGCAACCUCUUGUUGCCUUUAUACCAAACGUGCAUAUGUAAUUUUUUUAAUUGCUUUGCGCGCAAAAAGGCUUUUAAACUAGAGGGACCGCUGUUACUUUCUUAAACCAGAGGAAGGUUGCGGCAAUAACAGGUCUGUGA